UACGAAGGGGGGCUAGCGUUGCUCGGAAUCACUGGGCGUAAAGCGCACGUAGGCGGAUCUUUUAAGUCAGGGGUGAAAUCCCAAGGCUCAACCUUGGAACUGCCUUUGAUACUGGGGAUCUCGAGUCCGGAAGAGGUGAGUGGAACUGCGAGUGUAGAGGUGAAAUUCGUAGAUAUUCGCAAGAACACCAGUGGCGAAGGC
rnacentral:rRNA from 1 species